GAUGAACGCUGGCGGCGUGCCUAAUACAUGCAAGUCGAGCGAACGGACGAUAAGCUUGCUUCUCUGAUGUUAGCGGCGGACGGGUGAGUAACACGUGUAUAACCUACCUAUAAUACUGGGAUAACUUCGGGAAACCGUAUCUAAUACCGUAUAAUAUUUUGAACCGCAUGGUUCAAAAGUGAAUGACGGUCUUGCGGUCACUUAUAGAUGGUUCCGCGCUGCAUUAGCUAGUUGGUAAGGUAACGGCUUACCAAGGCAACGAUGCAUAGCCGACCUGAGAGGGUGAUCGGCCACACUGGAACUGAGACACGGUCCAGACUCCUACGGGAGGCAGCAGUAGGGAAUCUUCCGCAAUGGGCGAAAGCAUGACGGAGCAACGCCGCGUGAGUGAUGAAGGUCUUCGGAUCGUAAAACUCUGUUAUUAGGGAAGAACAGAUGUGUAAGUAACUGUGCACAUCUUGACGGUACCUAAUCAGAAAGCCACGGCUAACUACGUG
rnacentral:rRNA from 1 species